AGCAGCAGCCGCGGGAAUACGUAGGGUGCAAGCGUUAAUCGGAAUUACUGGGCGUAAAGCGUGCGCAGGCGGUUAUAUAAGUCAGAUGUGAAAUCCCCGGGCUCAACCUGGGAACUGCAUUUGAGACUGUAUGGCUAGAGUGUGUCAGAGGGGGGUAGAAUUCCACGUGUAGCAGUGAAAUGCGUAGAUAUGUGGAGGAAUACCGAUGGCGAAGGCAGCCCCCUGGGAUAACACUGACGCUCAUGCACGAAAGCGUGGGGAGCAAACAGGAUUAGAGACCCCAGUAGUCCCUGUCUCUUAUAC
rnacentral:rRNA from 1 species